GGACCGAGAGAUGAUGAUCGAGCAACUGAUGUGGUGCCAACCACAAGACACAGUUGGUGGACGACCUGAGGAAUGGACUUAACCAGUGGAUGCUCGCCAAGCGAGUGCCACCCAGCAAACACUAUCCAAGUGUUAAAUUAAAGGCAAGCCCCGGUUUUAUGCAUAACCGUUUAUAUAUGCUAUUUUACUACACUUAAUGAUUGUAGGCUUGUACUGUGCACUUAAGUGUAGGAGUUGUCUGAAAACCCUAGUUGCAUGAACUCAGGAUUCCUUUUGAGAUGGAUACUAGUAUGCUAGGUCGAGUAGCUGCUUUACUAAUUAGGGAUCUCGGUAGAAGUCGAGUGAUUUUUCUAGCACUCGCGCGAGGUCAGGAAUUGGUUGUAUCCACUUUGAUAACAGAAUGGUGAUGGUCUGUGGACACGAGUCCAUGGGGACGCGUGGUCUACGAGAUGAAAAUUGGAAUAAGGAUUAACGUGCGGAUACCUGUGUCAAGCGUUUGAACAUACUAAACACAUGCCGAGAAAUAUGGUAAAUCGGUAAGCCUAGUACCUGAGUGAACCUGCCCGCAGACUUUACCCCUCACGCGACCUGAGACGUGGUCUCCCAUUCCGGUUAUGGUGGGUACAAGUGCGGUCACUGCACGACGGCAGUCGGGGUCAGUGAGGCAUUGUACGCCAAGGCGGUGAGCCCUGAUCUGUUGCCAGGGAAUCGAUGGGGACGGUUGAUGUGUGUGGGGACGGAGUGCCCCUACAUGUCGUGUGUUUAGGUUUACCUUGCAAGGAUAAAAACUCGAUUCGAAUCGUCUGCUUCUCGCAGCUAAUGAGACUGCUUGAUCCAUUGUACUGCAUUGAGUAAUAAGUGGAAAUGAGUUGACGGGCAAAAGAUGUUGAUUUGUAAAAAUGUUUGAUACCAUGUAUGACUAGUUUGGUACACAUCUAGUAAAAAGGAGCAUACUAAAACUUGAAAAAGCUAAAACAUGAUUUUAGACUCAGCUAGUGCUUUUGGCAAACCAAACCCCUCAGCCAAACAGCUGCAUGUCUAGAGGUAGAGGAGUAGACUCCUCACACCGGGUAAGUCUAGCUGAGUAUUAGUAUACUCAGCCUUGCUUGUGGCACAAUUUUUGCAGGUACUCCUUAGGAUGAUUGGUUGAUGGUGUGACUUGGCCUCCAUCCCUGCCACCGGGAUAGACGGUCGAGUGGGUUAUUGCUUCCGC
rnacentral:lncRNA from 1 species